rnacentral:RNase_P_RNA from 1 species
GCGGUCUGUCGCUCACCGUGGCCCAAAGGUGCGGUGUGAGGAAAGUCCGGGCAACACAGAGUAUCAUAUUUCUUAACGGGAAGCUAUCAGUGAUGGUAGAGUAAUGUGACAGAAAAUAACCGCCUCCGCCUUUGGUGGAGGUAAGGGUGAAAAGGCGGGGUAAGAGCCCACCGGGUGCGAUGGCAACACCGCAUGCCGCACAUCUUAUGAGUUGCAAGGUCAAGUAUAUCGGCAUUUAAGGGUUACUCGUCCAUUGCCGAGGGGUAGGCUGCUAAAGCUUAAUGGCAACAUUAAGUUCAGAUAAAUGACAGACCGCAGUUCUAUUUGCCGAAAGGCAGGGCUGCGACAUAACCCGGCUUACAACCGUGCUG